UUUCUUCCUGUAAAUAUUUCUUUUAUUGUUGAGUACAUUCCAGAUUUUUUUGCACAUCAAGCAUUCUGAGCAUUACAUGAAACAGCAAGGUGUUUGCCUGAAAUGAAAAAUAAAUCUACCAGAGCCGAAAUGUUUCCUUUUGGUUACUGAGGUUAAGGUUACGGUUAGUGAGGUUACGGUUAGUUUCACAAGGAUAAUAAGAUAAAAGUGUGUAUUAUAUUACACAUGCUAAUUAAUCUCCUUCUUUCACACACUCGUAGCGGUCGCAGCAGGUCCCCGGGUGGCCGUUUCCCUUCACAAGGAGUCGGGGAAGUCCGCGGUUAGGGCAGUAUGUGGGUUUUGGAGUGCAGGUCUGGAAGUCGCAGGUGCACAUAGCAGGCACAACAGGGCAGCAGUGACCGGGUUCGGUGUGGGGCUCACUAAUGAAGGAGUCUGCCGGACAAGCCAGAGUGGGAGUCCCAGGACACGACGUAUUAAGGCACCCAGAUUCCUCUGAGAGAGGCAGGGAGAGAGAGAGAGAGAGAGAGAGCGAGAGAGAGAGAGAAUUUCCAAUCAACAAGUCACAGUGUGAGUGAGCUGUUUAAGACUAACCUCAAAGUAUCACUAUUAAUCAACUUCGUGCGGGAAAAGAUGCGUUCUUACUCAGUACGUCGCAGCAGGCGGCCUCGUUAAGUGGAGCUAACCUGUAGACACAUUUUCUAUAUUGACACACACACUCGCAGGCCUGAACCUCACAGCUCCACUCCUUACACUCAUAUGCAGGUACCUCGGGUUUGGGAGGCGUUUCCAUGUCGUUGGCAUAAAAGUCAUACAUCAAGAAAGCUUAGAGGGAAGGGAAAAGAAGGUUUUAUUCAGUACGUUCACAUGGACGACGAUAAUCUGAUAUUAAUACGAACCUGAUUAAGACGGUACUCUGAUUAAGAAACCAGCAUGUAACAGAGAUUAUCGAUGAUCUUUAAUCUGAUUAAAGUCACACUCGGAGUAAACACGAAUGGAAUUAAGACGUGUGGAGUGUUCCUGUUUUAGUCGCGUUACAGACACGUACACGCCUUAAUCACGCUAUUAACGUCGUGUGGGAGUUUUCACCGCAUCGUGAGACAGGACACGUACACACGGCAGCGCUCGACCGUUUGACGGCGAACGAGAGAGCACGGCCGCGUCCCAAACCGUGUCCUUACCUGCUGUAUAGUAGGAGAAAUACAUGUAUCUCGGCUACUAUACAGACGGCGAGUACGCGGUUCGGGACGCAGCCCACGGCUUCAAGCGCUCGUCUAUUAGCACGUACGGCACGACGAAUAAUUAACCGCACUCGAAGCGUUCGUAAAAUUAAACAUGAAACACCCAAAACCGUACACGGUCCCAUAACGAAGACCGACUGUACGUCGAUACGUGAAAUUCCGGAGGGACGUCGGACGGCAUGACGUGGGGACGUAAUGACGUGUGACGUUAAUCGCUCAAUGUUCUAUAACACGUAACACAGGAACAUGAAAGGAGUAUUCUAAAAGCGACUCAUGUAAACACCUUAAUCAGAAUAUCGUCUUAUUCAGAAUACGGUCGAUAAUCAGAUCACCGCCGUCCGUGUAAACGUCGUCAGUGAGAAUUCUGAGAUAACGAGCCACUUGAAAGGUUUAGCAUGUAUGACGUUUGGGUGAGUGAACAUCCGUGCGUGCGGGUUAAAGUUUUCACAUGUUGAAUUAUUUCGCUUGAUAUAUUGUCUUUAACCGUUUUAGCUGCGAUGUUCGUUUAAUUUGACUGUUUAAUAUUGUUCUACCUCUGUGCGUUCGAGCGACAAAAGCGGGGGAGGGGGAACGCUGACCCCUCCGUGUUUUUCUUUUGGUUAUGACCUUCAGUUGAAUGCAGUAUUAUCUCCCACCGCCGUGCUAAUGAAACACCCCAUACGUUCAAGUCGAAAGAGCUCGAUAUUCCGAGGUCCUCGACUCUAAGAAUAACUCUUCACCGUGGCCACAACUUAACUGGGAAUAUGGCUGUUACGUGAACACGUGUGUGUGUGUGUGUGUGUGUUAGAAUUUCUGUGGCUGGUUGUGUGUGUGUGUGUGUGUGUCACCCAUUAGAACUUUAUUGCAGGCUUCGUAGGUGCUGUAACUGAACGGUGAGUCACAGGACUGGUCUGAAUAACAGUCACAAUUCCCAACGUGCACGUUGCAACCGUUUUGAACGGGACAAAGAGGAACGGGGAAGUGUUUUUUUAGAUGUUUUGGUAUCACUGAGAGAGAGAGAGAGAGAGAGAGAGAGAGAGAGCAAUGAUGAUAGAACAGAAAUGUACAGUGAAUCAUUAAUGUCACAAUGAAGCAUGAAUUUGUUCGUGUCGUUUGAUUUUCUCUUUAUAACGAAGGUAUAAGGAGUUAUAUGCAGUAUAUGUAGCAGCGGUAGUACCUUUGCACACGCCCGUCUGUGGAGGUCUGGCCGAAUCGAGCCCCACGACAAGAGCGCAAACCAAAUCCGGAUCACAGUUACCGUAUCUCCAGCUCGGCCCGCCGCACACCUGCCCCUUUGUCUUGGCGCAGUGUGUACAACACCCGCACGGAUCGAUCACCUGACGACCUCGACAGCCUUGCCUCGGCAAACACUGGAACUCGGAG
ensembl:lncRNA